GUCUGUUAAAUUUUAUACUCGUAUAUGAAUAAAUUAUUAUUUUGUCAGUUAAAUAUUAUCUACAUUAAACAUCAUUUAUACAUUCAAUCUUUCUAAACUUUCUGGAAAGUUCCAGUCUUGAGUCUCUCCAGUUCCAAAGAAUAUGAAGAAAACGGCUGCUACUAUGUACACCGAGGCUCCGAUGAAAAAUACCGGUCGCCACUGCUCAAAGCCAUUCUGAAAUAAGACAAAACGGGAAUCAAAUAACGAGAUAUUUACAAAAUGUAUCUGCUGCGUAUUUUAAUUGUGGUCAACAAAAUAGCCAAACAGCUACAGACUAAAUCGCUCUUAAAUACGGAAAACAAAACUAUUAUUGCGUAAACUUGUUCAGAGGUGCACUAAUACCUUUUUAGGGUUCCGUAGCCAAAUGGCAUAAAACGGAACCCUUAUAGUUUCGCCAUGUCCGUCUGUCUGUCUGUCUGUCUGUCUGUCUGUCCGAGGCUUUGCUCCGUGGUCGUUAGUGCUAGAAAGCUGAAAUUUGGCAUGAAUAUAUAAAUCAAUAAAGCCGACAAAGUCGUACAAUAAAAUCUAAAAAAAUAAUUUUUUUUAGGGUACCUCCCUUACACGUAAAGUGGGGGUGAAUUUUUUUUUUCGCUUCAACCCUAGAGUGUGGGGUAUCGUUGGAAAGGUCUUUUAAAACUAAUAGGGGUUUUCAAGAAACAUUUUUUGAUAAUGUGAAUAUGUUCGGAGAUAAUCGCUCCGAAAGAAAAAAAAUAUGUGUCCCCCCCCCUCUAACUUUUGAACCAUAGGUCCAAAAAAUAUGAAAAAAAUCGUGGAAGUAGAGCUUAAGAAAGACAUUAAAUGAAAACUAUAGCGGACAUGAUCAGUUUAGCUGUUUUUGAGUUAUCGCAAAAAGUUUUACCUUCAUAGUAAAAAGACUUACUUUAAUUAGGUACUGAUUAUGCAAAUUUGCCUAUUUGUUUAACUCGGGUGAAAGGUACCAUUUACUACACUUUAAGCUCCAGUUUAGCUUAUUGUGACGUAAGAGUAACUACGGAACCCUACACUGAGCGUGGCCCGACAUGCUCUUGGCCGGUUUUUUUAUAAUUAAUUUUCAUAUAUUAUAGUUUGAUUUAUCGUCAUUUUGAAUAACGUAAUAAAAGGCAUACUACUAUACUUGUAUAUGUAUAUUAUCGAAUCAACGACAUACAGAAUGUUAUUCUUGGUAUAGUGGUUAUAGGAUAGGGUAUAUACAAUAUGUCUUUAUACCAGUUAAAAAUAUAUGCAGAUAUAGGCAUUAUAUCAAUUACGGUUUAGAUUUAAUCAUAACAUAAAGUUGGCUAAGAGUGUAAACCUGCCAAAUCCAAUUUAAAAUUGAUAAAUUUGUACUUUUUUUAUAGACAUUAAAGUUAAAAAUGAUCAAAAUAACAAAAAUUGAUUUAAAUGGAUGGAUGGAUUGAUUAGGAGAUUUUGGAUGGAUUUAAGGUCUACACUCUUAAUCGACGAUAGCAAAAUCAACGUAUAGUAAUAAAUACAUUAUAACAAGCAAUAAUAUAUGAAAUGGAUUUUUUUAAAACAUUACGCACUCCGGUUCAGAUAUCAAUUAAUUUUACAAAAAAACAAAAUGUAAGAAUAUUUAAUAUAGACAAGAAACAUUGGAUGGGAUAGUUAACUCACCCCACUCCUUGUAAAGUAAGCUGUAAUCAUCGGGGUGAAGAACCCAGCAGUGCUUCCAAUAGCAUUGGCAAUGCCAUACAAGCUCCCGGCGUAAUUCGGUGCGAGGUCCUGGUGGUUCUGCAGGUUGGUGAGUGUCGCCGCGCCAUUGGCCCCCAUCGACAGAGUGAUCAAGGCAACGGACAAUGCCGUCGAGCACCCCGCGUACACCAGCAAUAUUAAAAACACCCCAGGGAUUAUGUGCGAGAACAAACAAAAGAAUUUCCUAAUCUGUGUCGUCGUCAUAAGAUUUCUCGCCAAAAUGCAGUCCCCGAGCACUCCAAAUAUCGCUGAUAGGAAUAAUCUGGCCAAAUACGGUAGAGCUGAUAUGACACCGGCGGCAGAGAGCUGGAAGCCUAGCACGCUUGACACGAACUUUGGCCCCACGGUCAUUAUAAAGUACAAGCCCCAGAGAUUUCCGUAGUGCAAUAUAACCAUGGCCAGGAAAGGAAGCGAUGUCACAAUACUCUUGAACGGCGGGAGGCCCUGAAAUCGAAAUUUAUUAGUUAAUAUUACAACACAUUUUGGAACAUCUCCAAAAAAGAUGUCUCACGUAAGAUAAUAAAACUUCUUAAAUGGCCUCGA